UCCUCAUUUUCCACCUUAAGGAAAAUCAUAGGGGUUGCCUGCCCUAUCCAAUCACUGGUUUGUCCGUGUCUUUCAUUUCCACCCUGGUUCUCGGUUCCUACCUCUCCUCGGGUCCCAUCACAAAGGGGAGCCCCUUCCCUUGUGGGACCCUGCUGGUCAGGGAAGUCCAUUAAGGAAAACCCAACACUUGGCACCCCGGAUUUGGGAGCGAAAUUCCUUUGUCACAGGCAUUCAAGCACGUGCAACUUGAGGAGCGAUCACUGAGGUACGGAAUCACAAAGGCGUGACCUUGCAGGUGGCCUCUGAAGAUACCAGAAGUCCGUGGAAGAAAACUAAAAUGAUCCAGCUGAAAGACAGUCUGCCCAGAAAGUCAAUGCAGAUGUGCCUGGCACCAUCCACAACAUGGCACCAAUGCCAGACAACAGGAAAAGCAGCCAAUGAGCGGGAAAAACCAUCACUGCCCUAUAGGCAGAGAAUGAAAACACCUGGUCACCCACCAAGCACGUCAUGCCAUGAGGCACAGGACCAGGAAGAGAAGCAGACGAGUACCAUCUAUGAUGCCAGCUGAUUGCAUACCAAGCAAGCGGCAAGAAACCAUUAUUGGUGACUAUAAAAACCAAACACUGACAUUACACUACUUUUAAUGACAUUUACUAUUCCACUGAAGAACAAUUAUCAUGCUGACAUCCAUUGGUCUUUUAUAACUAAACCAAUAUCAAGCAUGUCAACUUGUAUGGACUAAACCCCACUCGUAUAUAUUUAUGACGUCAGAUGGAUCCCACACUCCAAAGACUUUAUCAUGGGAUCAAAAUUGAAACAGCUAUAAUUGUUCAAACACUAAUGUAUAUCUUUCAUUUUGGAUAUCCGUUAUAUAUGUCAAAAGGAAAUUUAUUUUGUAUGCAUUGUAAAACUCCUUGUAUUGUAAAAAAUUGAUCUAUCAACAAGGGUAUAGACAUUGGUAUGAAUCUCCAAAGGACAGGAGAUAGAAAAUUUUUCAUUCAUAACACAAACCUAGCAACCCUGACUACAAAAAUUAUGUUUAAUGCAAGAGAUGCUGAACAGGAAUGUUCAAUGCACAGAUGGUCCUGAUGUCACUCUUAAAAAAAGGGAUGAGAUAUCAGGCAAAAUGCACUUUAGAAAUUUUUAAUUAGGAACCAAGGUUAUUGAAAAUUGAUCAUCUACAUCUAUGUGUAGAUUAUAUUCCUGACAAUAACUAUGUAGACAUGUGCCAACUGCCAUUGCUGUAGUUAAAUGUUAACAUCAUUGUUGAUCACUACUCCUAAAACCCCAUCUCUAUGGAAACUCUUUCUUGCUCUCUAACACCAGUCCCAGAAUUCAGACGGCCGCUGGAUUCGGGGUCUAUUAACUUCCACUUCAGGUACUGGAAGACGUUCUGGUACAUGAAAGUAAAGCCUAGGUUGGACAAUCUCUGUGGAUGCGCAGUUGUUGAACCUCCUAGAUGGAAUAGGUUAUUACACACAUACAUGGAGCAAGGGCAAAGUAUAUACUAAGUUUCUCUUUUUUGGAGUAUGUAUUGAAAAUAGGAAAAAAUUUGGGCACUAAUAAGC
ensembl:lncRNA